CCCCACCUCUUCUCUCCUCAG
rnacentral:miRNA from 1 species